UCCUACGGGGGGCAGCAGUGGGGGAUAUUGCACAAUGGGGGAAACCCUGAUGCAGCGACGCCGCGUGAGUGAAGAAGUAUUUCGGUAUGUAAAGCUCUAUCAGCAGGAACGAGACAAGACGGUACCUGACUAAGAAGCCCCGGCUAACUACGUGCCAGCAGCCGCGGUAAUACGUAGGGGGCAAGCGUUAUCCGGAUUUACUGGGGGUAAAGGGUGCGUAGGUGGCAGGGCAAGUCAGAUGUGAAAGCCCGGGGCUCAACCCCGGUACUGCAUUUGAACCUGUCCAGCUGUAGUGCA
rnacentral:rRNA from 1 species